rnacentral:rRNA from 1 species
CCUACGGGAGGCAGCAGUGGGGAAUCUUGUGCAAUGGACGAAAGUCUGACACAGCCACGCCGCGUGCGGGAAGAAGGCCUUCGGGUUGUAAACCGCUUUCAGCAGGAACGAAAAUGACGGUACCUGCAGAAGAAGAUGCGGCCAACUACGUGCCAGCAGCCGCGGUGAUACGUAGGCAUCAAGCGUUGUCCGGAUUUAUUGGGCGUAAAGAGCUCGUAGGCGGUUCAGCAAGUCGGGUGUGAAAACUCUGGGCUUAACCCAGAGCCUGCACUCGAAACUGCUGUGACUAGAGUUCGGUAGGGGAGCAGGGAAUUCCUAGUGUAGCGGUGAAAUGCGCAGAUAUUAGGAGGAACACCAAUGGCGAAGGCACUGCUCUGGGCCGAUACUGACGCUGAGGAGCGAGAGCGUGGGUAGCAAACAGGAUUAGAUACCCUGGUAGUCCACGCCGUAAACGAUGGGCACUAGGUGUGGGUCUCUAACCAACGAGAUCUGCGCCGUCGCUAACGCAUUAAGUGCCCGCCGUGGGGAGUCGGUCGCGAAGACUUAAACGUUAAAGGAAUUGACGG